UACGUAGGCAGCAAGCGUUGUUCGGAGUUACUGGGCGUAAAGGGUGUGUAGGCGGUUCUUUAAGUUUGGGGUGAAAUCUCCCGGCUUAACCGGGAGGGUGCGCCGAAUACUGAGGGACUAGAGUACGGGAGAGGAAAGUGGAAUUCCUGGUGUAGCGGUGAAAUGCGUAGAUAUCAGGAGGAACACCGGUGGUGUAGACGGCUUUCUGGACCGUAACUGACGCUGAGACACGAAAGCGUGGGUAGCAAACAGG
rnacentral:rRNA from 1 species